rnacentral:rRNA from 1 species
AUGGGGACCUGUAUGAAUGGCCUGACGAGGGCUUAACUGUCUCCUCUUUCCAGUCAAUGAAAUUGAUCUCCCCGUGCAGAAGCGGGGAUAUUUCCAUAAGACGAGAAGACCCUAUGAAGCUUUAGACGCAAGGCAGCUUAUGUCCAUUCAUCCUUUCAAAGAACUAAACUUAGUAAUUCCUGUCCUUAAUGUC